rfam:Desulfuromonadales bacterium GWD2_54_10 gwd2_scaffold_5149, whole genome shotgun sequence.
AACCGAUAAUACUAAACCAUCCGCGAGGGUGGGACGGAAAGCCCAUUGGGUCUCACUGAGACAGCCGGGUCGCCGAA